GUACCUGCCUCCCCAUCUACGUCAAUUUAAAUGACACCCUUUCGGUCUCCACUCUCGAUUGACAGUCUAAAAGACUAGGAGAGAGUGAUCAAGUCUGAGCUGGACAUCUAUGGCAAACACAAUGAAGCCAAUUGUGUUUAAAUGACACCUGUUCUCGAUUAACAGUAGGAGAGGGUGAUCAAAUCAGAGCUGGACAUCUACG